CCUACGGGAGGCUGCAGUGAGGAAUAUUGGUCAAUGGACGAGAGUCUGAACCAGCCAAGUAGCGUGAAGGAUGACUGCCCUAUGGGUUGUAAACUUCUUUUAUAUGGGAAUAAAAUGUUCCACGUGUGGGAUUUUGUAUGUACCAUAUGAAUAAGGAUCGGCUAACUCCGUGCCAGCAGCCGCGGUAAUACGGAGGAUCCGAGCGUUAUCCGGAUUUAUUGGGUUUAAAGGGAGCGUAGGUGGAUUGUUAAGUCAGUUGUGAAAGUUUGCGGCUCAACCGUAAAAUUGCAGUUGAAACUGGCAGUCUUGAGUACAGUAGAGGUGGGCGGAAUUCGUGGUGUAGCGGUGAAAUGCUUAGAUAUCACGAAGAACUCCGAUUGCGAAGGCAGUUCACUGGACUGCAACUGACACCGAGGCUCGAAAGUGUGGGUAUCAAACAGGAUUAGAUACCCGUGUAGUC
rnacentral:rRNA from 1 species